GGUGGUGGUCAAACGGUCAUCACCGAGGGCUUUGAACCCUUCGGUUCCGGGUUCGAAUCUCCGCUCCAUCA
rnacentral:tRNA from 1 species